UACGUAGGUGGCAAGCGUUGUCCGGAUUUAUUGGGUUUAAAGGGUGCGUAGGCGGUUAUAUAAGUCAGUGCUGAAAUAUCCCGGCUUAACCGGGAGGGUGGCAUUGAUACUGUAUGACUUGAGUAAAGUUGAGGUUGGCGGAAUUGACGGUGUAGCGGUGAAAUGCUUAGAUAUCGUCAAGAACACCGAUAGCGAAGGCAGCUUACUGGGCUGUAACUGACGCUGAUGCACGAAAGUGUGGGGAUCAAACAGG
rnacentral:rRNA from 1 species